GACGAACGCUUGCGGCGUGCCUAAGAAAUGCAAGUCGAGCGAGGAUUCACGCUGACCGAAGCUUCGGCAGAGGUCUUGUGAAGCCUAGCGGCGAACGGUCGCGUAACACGUAAGCAACCUGCCCUGAAGUGUGGGAUAGCCCUCCGAAAGGAGGAUUAAUACCGCAUGUGGAUACGAUGUCGCAUGGCAACGUAUCUAAAGCAGCAAUGCGCUUCAGGAUGGGCUUGCGGCCUAUCAGCUAGUUGGUGGGGUAACGGCCUACCAAGGCGACGACGGGUAGCUGGUCUGAGAGGAUGGUCAGCCGGGAUUGGGACUGAGACACGGCCCAGACUCCUACGGGGGGCAGGCAAUUAGGAAUCUUGCGCAAUGGGGGAAACCCUGACGCAGCGACGCCGCGUGAGCGAUGAAGUCUUUCGGGAUGUAAAGCUCUGUCCUGUCGGGGAAGAAGAAUGUGACGGUACCCACAGAGAAAGCCCCGGCUAACUACGUGCC
rnacentral:rRNA from 1 species